rnacentral:rRNA from 1 species
UACGUAGGGGGGCAAGCGUUGUCCGGAAUCAUUGGGCGUAAAGAGCGUGUAGGCGGUCCGGUCAGUCGGUUGUGAAAGUCAAGGGCUCAACCCUUGAAUGCCGGCCGAUACUGCCGGGCUAGAGUUCUGGAGGGGAUAGCGGGAAUUCCUGGUGUAGCGGUGAAAUGCGUAGAUAUCAGGAGGAACACCGGGUGGCGAAGGCGGCUAUCUGGACAGAGUCUGACGCUGAGGCGCGAAAGCUAGGGGAGCAAACAGG